AUUACUGUAAGAGAAAUCUUAUAAAAUUAUAAGCAAAUUCCCUAAAAUAUUAUUCCCUCCUGUCAAUCCAUUUCCCUCUAAAUAAAGUUAAAAAUGUCACUCUCUACGUUCUCUUCCUUUUCUUUUUCGCAGUGGCCUCUCUCUCUUUAUAUAGACCUGACAAACGGGCCGGAUCAUCGACGGGCCGGACUAUCAACAGGCCGGGUCAAAAUGACUCAAGUUUUGAUGGACUGAAAUUACGCGGCCCGUGGCUCAGAUUAGGCCGGCCCAGCCCGACCCGCGGGCUUUUUCAUUUUUUUUAAAAUCCGUAAAUACUGUAAAGCACAGGAAGGAAAUGACUAAAUGAGUAAACAUAUUACUAAUACAUACAAUGAUACAAAUGAGAAAAACUAAUAAAUAUUAAAUGAACCAAGAGCAAAUAGAAUAGAAUCCCAGCAAGAGUUAUUGUAAAUCCAUUCAUCCCAAGCCACUCCCAUCACUGCAAUAGCAAUAAUAAAAUUUACCCAGCAACAGUAAUAUUUUACUUCAAUCAACUUCUAGAUUUGAGUCAUCGUUAAAUACCCAAUGAGAAAACUGAAACUGAAAGGGGAAAAACAAAGAAAAAGAAAAGAGAAUGAAACAAAUCUACUAAUAAAACAUAAAUGUAUUACAUAAAUGAUUGUAUAUAAGGAUAUGGCUUCAAUUCAAUGACUGGAAUUUUUCUUACACGAGCUAAAGAAUUAAAUAUACAGAACCCACAUUAUAUGUUCUUGUUUAAUAUUCCAUUUGCACAUUAUCUGAACUCUUCUAAUGGACUUUAGAAUGAGAAGAAAAUCAUGCAGGAGCAGGACAUCAAUUUUCAAGAAACUGCACUACCAUAUGAGAGAAAAAUCCUGUAAAUCAUCUUCCAAAUUAAAAGGGUAACCAAAUUUAUGUAAAGGAAAAAUAAAAGGACGAACAAGAAAAAUGAUAAAUAUCCAGAUCGAAUAAUUGCAGGACAUAUUAAAAAUUAAAACACACUAACUUUUUUACCUAAAAACAAGGAAUUCAAUAUUUUGGGCAAAAAAGUGAAAGAAAAUUACAUACCUUGAACCAAAAAAGUAGAUCUGAUCCUUCAACCAAAAAUGAAAAAGCUAAGCAACAAAGUCGGGACGAAGAGGAUAAAACACUGAGAUAUAUUAUAUAUAGAGAUAAAAUUACUCAGAUUCGGGACGAAGAGGAAGAACUAAGAAGCUACAUAGUCGGCGACUCGGCGUGGUCGAUCGAAGCGUGGAUUUCUCGGUCGUGACUCGUCGUUGGCUCUUUGAGGACUCUCAGUUUUAGAUCUGAAUCAUCUGAUAUCAAAAAAGACUAGCUAAGCCGGUUAGAGUAUAGUGUACUCGAACAUAA
rnacentral:lncRNA from 1 species